UGAGGAAUCUUGCGCAAUGGGGGCAACCCUGACGCAGCAACGCCGCGUGAGUGAGGAAGGCCUUCGGGUCGUAAAGCUCUGUCGGAUGGAAAGAAACGGAUGCGGGUUAAUAGCCUUCAUCCCUGACGGUACCAUCAGAGGAAGCACCGGCUAACUCCGUGCCAGCAGCCGCGGUAAUACGGGGGGUGCAAGCGUUGUUCGGAAUCAUUGGGCGUAAAGCGCGUGUAGGCGGCUUGGUAAGUCAGGUGUGAAAGCCCUGGGCUCAACCCAGGAAGUGCACUUGAAACUGCCGUGCUUGAGUACGGGAGAGGAAAGCGGAAUUCCUGAUGUAGAGGUGAAAUUCGUAGAUGUCAGGGGGAACACCGGUGGCGAAGGCGGCUUUCUGGCCCAAUACUGACGCUGAGACGCGAAAGCGUGGGGAGCAAACAG
rnacentral:rRNA from 1 species